rnacentral:snoRNA from 1 species
CCCCUCUAAGGGUCGCACCUGGAGAGUUUCUAGUACUCUACCUGUCUAGACUAUGGGAGGGAGAGUCAAGCAGAGGCGUACCCAUUUCAUUCCUAACUUGGGCAGUGGCUAGCGAGUGCAAGGCAAUCUGCUAUAAGU